ensembl:lncRNA
CUCUCACACUCUCUCUCUCACACUCUCUCUCUCUUUCUCUGUACAUGUUUCAGCCACUUGUCUCUUACAACCCCAGACUUACACACACACUCUUUCUCUCUCUCUCUCUAACACACACACACACACACACACAACCCUGGGCUCAUUUGGACAUUGCAGAAACUUUCAUCAGCAAAGAGAUUGUGUUCGUCAAGAUGCAGGUGUUGCUUGCGGAGAUAAAAGCUUUUCCUGGACUUCUGGUGCUACUGAUUGCGUCAACUUAUGGUCUGGACUCCAUCUGUGAUGCUACUCAGGAUGCUACAUGUUAUGGGGCUCUGGGAGGACCUGUGUAUCUGCAGCUGAUGAGGGACACCAGUGGGCAUGAACUGAGCUUUCGUAAUGAACAUAAAACCAUUUUUACACUCAGACGAUCCAAGACAGUGUUCUCUAACGAGUUCAACACCCCAUCAUACCUCCAGAGGUGGCAGUUUGUUCCUGAUAACGGGACCCUCAUUAUAAACCCUGCAGAGAGGAAAGAUGCAGGAACAUACAGAGUGGAGAUCUUUAAAAAGUCAUCAGGGAAGAGUGUGGGAGAUCACACAGUACAGCUGAUCAUUGAAGCUCCUGUGUCUGUUGUGAAUCUGUCAAUCAGCUGCUCAGCCAAUGGGGAGAGGAGGGUGAGUUGCUCCUCCAAUGGGGACAGUCCUCAAUACAGCUGGUCUGUGGAUGGAAGGCCUCUGAGUGAAAUCUUAACCAAUCAGAGCACAGAAGGUCAAACCAAGACCAAUAAGACAUCUCCAAACACACAGGAAGCAUCUUCCAGUGGUUCAACUGAAAGGCCGGAGUCUAGUCCUGAUCUUAACACUGAUCUCAGUUCACCUAACCUCACACUCCCAGAGGGCAUUCAGGGACAUCUCACCUGCUCAGCCAGAAACAGCAUCAGCAGCGCCAACGAGGCCCAACUACUACCCUCCUGCACAACCACCCCAGCACCAACUGCCUCCUCACCUCCACACCAUCUCACCUCUACUGUAUCUGUGACAACCAGCAGUGUAGUAUCCAUGGCAACUAACACCACGCUCACCAUCCUUGGAGCAGUUCUGGGAGGUGUUCUGUUUCUGUGUAUGUUCAUGGCAGUGUUUUGUAUCUGCAAAAAGAAGAAGAAAAACGCACCCACAACAGCUAACAGCUACGAGGUGGAGUAUGCAGAAGUGUCCUUCAAGAAGAGGAGGGAGACUGAGGAGAGGAGAAAAUUGGCGGAGACUGUGGACUACGGAGAGGUGACCUUCCGGAAGAAGGGGGAAACUGAGGAGAAGAGAACAUUGGCGGAGACGGUGGACUACGGAGAGGUCAGACUACCAAAACCUACCUGCAACACACAGCAGGAGGACAGUGUGUAUGCGCAGGUGCGCAGAGGACAGUGACAGGACACUGUCUCUCUGUGUGUGUUUGUGUGUGUGUGAGAGUGUAUGUGACUCUAUGUGUGGGUGUGUGUGUGCGUAUGUGUGUGUGAGAGUGUAUGUUACUUUAUGUGUGUGUGUGUGUGUGUGUGUGUGUGUGUGUGUGUGUGUGUGUGUGUGUCCCCAAACCCAAUCAUGUCAGCAGCUCAGAGACAAAGUGAGGGAGAGAGAGAGAGUUUGUGUUGCAUAUAUAUUAGUGCUGUCAGUUUAACGCGUUAUUAACGGCGUUAACGCAAACCCAUUUUAACGCCGUUAAUUUUUUUAUCGCGAGAU